GCUUGUCUCAAAGAUUAAGCCAUGCAUGUUCAAGUAUAGCAAGUGUACAGUGAAACUGCGAAUGGCUCAUUAAAUCAGUUAUAAUUUAUUUGAUAGUGAAAUUGUACAUGGAUAACCGUGGCAAUUCUAGGGCUAAUACAUGCGUCAAUGGUCGGUCGACCAGUAUUUAUUAGAUAAAAAACCAAUCCGGCAACGGUGCUUGGUGAUUCAUAAUAACUGUUCGAAGCGCACGGCCUCGCGCCGGCGCUAGUUCAUUCAAAUUUCUGCCCUAUCAGCUUUCGACGGUAGUGUAGUGGACUACCGUGGCGCUAACGGGUGACGGAGAAUUAGGGUUCGGUUCCGGAGAGGGAGCCUGAGAAACGGCUACCACAUCCAAGGAAGGCAGCAGG
rnacentral:rRNA from 1 species